rnacentral:rRNA from 1 species
UACGUAGGGGCAAGCGUUGUCCGGAAUCAUUGGGCGUAAAGAGCGCGUAGGCGGCCCUGUAAGUCCGCUGUGAAAGUCAAGGGCUCAACCCUUGAAUGCCGGUGGAUACUGCAGGGCUAGAGUCCGGAAGAGGCGAGUGGAAUUCCUGGUGUAGCGGUGGAAUGCGCAGAUAUCAGGAGGAACACCUAUAGCGAAGGCAGCUCGCUGGGACGACACUGACGCUGAGACGCGAAAGCGUGGGGAGCGAACAGG